rnacentral:lncRNA from 1 species
GAUGGAAGGAUUCAAUAUCCCUGCUGGAAAUCAGCUCGUCUUCUUCACACAGUGCUGUUGAACGUGGAAAGAACUUAUUUCUGAGGCAUAAUUACCAGCUCUAACAUAUGAAAAGUCGUAAGGAUAUUUAAUUUUUUCCUUUUCUUAAAUUUCAGUCAAACUCUUUAAAAUGUUAACUUUUAUUUCCCCCUGUGACAAAGCUUGUUUACUAGACUGUGUCUCCAUGCUUGGGCUUGUUGUUUGUCAAUAGAUGUUGGAAUCCAUACAUGCUCACCAGCCUUUCUUUCUUCAGGAUGAUAGACAGACAUACAGCAUAAAUGUAUCGAGGACAAAAAAUAUCUUCUGAAUGCAGCCGUCAGCGAGCCAUUGAAUGUCCUGUAGCAAAGGCCUCAAUGACAAAGACAAUGUCAAGUGCUGACUACUCACCUUAUAGACCAGGAGCUGGGAAUCUAACUCCAGGCCCUUAGUCAGAUCACACCUUCAUAGUCCACUGGGGGCAGUAUGUUCUGCUAGCUGGAACAUCCAUUUCUGAGUGCUGGAAUCCCACCAUCUGCUGUACCUUUGGUCCACACUCAAAGUAAGUUAUAUACAGAGGUCUCUGAGCCUCACUUUCUCUCUCUAUAUAUAUAAAACAGAAUUGUACCACAGAAGAAUC